CCAAAACAUAGAUAGCUGCACAGUUGCCACAGCAGACUGGAAAUGAAUCACAAGGAACAAAAUAAUUGGAGGUGACAAUAGCCAGAAAGGGCUGAGCUCAGAAAUAACAGGGCAUUAGAAACUGGUCGUGAGUACUGUAAUGGUGGUACCAGGCUAAGCUAACUCAAAUGUUUACGCCUUGCAUGAGUCAUUCAGCAUUAUUAAGCAUCUUUCAGCAUCAAUACCUACUGUAUACUGAGACCUUUUUGUAAAUAGUUUCUUGUAGCAUCAGAGCUGCACAUAGACUAAAGAUGGAGCAUUGGAAACUCUGUCCAGGGCUGUGAGAAUAACUUGCAUUCCAGCCCAGAAGUUGUUGGAAAGCCACCUCUUAAGGGAUUUUACAUUAUAUCAAGUAGGAAUGCUGGAAUUUUACUCAGAGCUAUCUACGAAAGAUCAUGUGGAAGGAAUCUAAAGAACUGGAUACAGGUGGACUUGUCUGCUGUGUGUUCACAGAUGUAUUCACUGACUAGUACUGCAAAUGCUCCACCUAUAAACCUUGCAGAAGAUACCACAAUUGGGACAGCCUCAGCCCUGAUGGAUCAAGCCCCAUCAUCAGGCUUCAUCAACAUGGAGUUAUACCAGCACAAGUGGAAUGUGAGAUAAGGUUACGGUUUCUUUUCCAGUGUAGCCACAUUGCACAAUUCCUACUGUGCACCAUUUAUAGAAGGACUAACAGCUCUAGCUUGUUCUGCAGUUCUAAGAGAGAUCAAACUGUUACAAGAGAAGGAGGUGAUGUUUGUUCAGUCAGUGAGAAAAGCACUGCGAGGCUACAGCCUGUGGCAGGUGGGAGCUCUCGCUCGAGUGUCUGCCCUCUUCCACCACUGAUGUACACGUGUCUUCACAGAAAGGUGACGUCUCAGUCUCUUGCCUGAGAAUAGCACCCAGAAAUCCCAGAAUUUGUUUUAUUUUUCUUCUGACUGAUGGAGCUUUCCGCCUGCUGAAGGACUUCUGUCUGAAGUGGACACACUCUGGGUUUGUUCCAGCAUAACCAACAUUAAAGUCAGACCAUGCCGUGGUCACUUGCUGUGUAAUCGUUAUACUUCUAUUCCUCUUUUUCUCUUCCUCCCCUUUGCUUUUAUUCUUUAUAAACAACAAUAGAUUGAAGUUAUUUGAGGCAAAAAGCAUUUCCUCAUGUGUAUUUUUACAGUCUCUAACAUGAAGUUACCCUGUCCUAGAGUCUCUGUCUAAUGCAUACAGUGCUACGUGUGUAAGCUGGGCACGGCACCAGCCAGAGGCAGCAGUCCUUGUAAGCAGGCAGGCAACAUAACUGUGAUCUACCUGCCCACCUCAGCCCACUGACCAUUUUUUGAGCAUUUUUUGAUGGAUGACAGUGUCAUCCGUCCUCUACCACUGCUCAGCCCUGGAAACAUUCCUCAUCUAUUGUUUUCCUUCUUCUCUUAGCACAUCUCAAAAAGCUUGGCAGAAUCUAGCACAAAUUACAUGAAGUCAUGCAAAGCAAACAUUUGGAAGCUGCAGAAAUGGAUGGUUAUAUAUUUUUUUUUCAGCUGUGUAUUGGAAGAGACUCUCCUGACCAAGCUGUUUUUCAGCCAUGUAAAGCUGUUGAUGACACAGGGUUUUCCCUCCGGAAAGGGAUAUGAUCCCAUGUAGGACAUGACCCCAGCAGCCUGUGGGACCAUGUUUGUACCCCUUGGCAUCCACCGUCUUUUUGAGGGCUGAAGCCCUGGUCAGCUGAGAAGGGAACAGAAGAGGAAAUUGAGAAAAUUAAGGUCUUUAGAAAUGAUUCUGUUGGUACAGCU
rnacentral:lncRNA from 1 species